GGUGUGUUGAAUCUUUUCUUCCCUAAGUCCCUAUGCUUUGGAACUGCUUGCCUGGCCAAAUGCAGAUGUCUGCUUCUACAGAACACGUCCUCAAGUGGGAGAAUCGUGCGCUGCCAACAAGAAGGCAACCCCCCUUCACUCCUCUGGAAUUGUAAUGGAGUCUAUAUCACACAGCAGUCUUUCCUGUUGAUUGAAUAGCAGUGGCAGUCACUUCUCAUUUCAUGCCGCUUAACCUCCAGUCCACCUCACGCUGCGGUAAUCGCUAAACGAGCUGCUUUCUAACACGUUGACACAAUUGCUUGAAAUGGCAGAAUAAAUACAGUUUGUUUUUUCA